CUACGUGCCAGCAGCCGCGGUAACACGUAAGGGGCGAGCGUUGUUCGGAAUUAUUGGGCGUAAAGGGUAUGUAGGCGGUUAGGUAAGCCUGGUGUGAAAUCUACGAGCUCAACUCGUAAACUGCAUUGGGUACUGCUUGACUUGAAUCACGGAGGGGAAACCGGAAUUCCAAGUGUAGGGGUGGAAUCUGUAGAUAUUUGGAAGAACACCGGUGGCGAAGGCGGGUUUCUGGCCGAUGAUUGACGCUGAUAUACGAAGGUGCGGGGAGCAAACAGGAUUAGAUACCCUGGUAGUCCGCACAGUAAACGAUGUACACUAGGUGUCGGGGCAAGAGCUUCGGUGCCGUAAGCAAACGCAUUAAGUGUACCGCCUGGGAAGUAUGCCCGCAAGGGUGAAACUCAAAGGAAUUGACGGGGGCCCACACAAGCGGUGGAGCAUGUGGUUUAAUUCGAUGAUACGCGAGAAACCUUACCUGGGUUUGACAUCAAGAGCAAUGACAUAGAGAUAUGGCAG
rnacentral:rRNA from 1 species